ACUUACAUAAAAAUCAAACUGUCACAUUUCAAUCGCAACAUAACCUAAAAACUUUCGAAUUAAAAACAUAUUUUAAUUAAUAAUUACUUUACGAUGGAUUAAAAUAAACAGGGAACAAAGAAAAGAAAACGUUCGAAUUCGGUGGAGAUUAAAACCGAAAGAAAUGUAAGCAAUAAUCCAAAAUUUUAGGAAUUUCCCCUGGAAAACUAUAAUCGAGAUAGAUACACCUCUAUAUCGCAAUAAGAAAGAAAUUAAAAGUAUUAAAGAUGAUAAUUAAUCGAACAAAUAACGAAUUAUUAGAGAUAACCAGCACUUAUGUAUUUAAGAAUUUUUAUUAACUUACUUGGAAUGAAAUUUGUAAACCUUUCCAAUGGAAAUAUCACACACCCUCCUUUAUUUAUGAUAAAUUUAAGGAUUUAAGAAGGUGUCUAUCCAGAAAGAACAUCAAUAAGAUCCACAAGAGUGUAUAAUAAGAAUUUAUUUAGUGAAAAAGUAUUUAAUAAGAAGAAAAUUAAAGAAAUCGUAUCUCAAAAACCAAGUGUGACAUCACAAUGUGUUAAAAAGCAUUUGAAAGAGGAUUUUAUCUAAUUUUAGGAGAUUUUAAAUAAUUUCUUAAUUUCUCUAAAUGUGGUUGUUAUGAUUUUUUGAGCCAAUACUCAUCUAUCAUAAAUUCAUGUUUUCUCCAAUAUUUUUAUAUUAACCAUAUAAAUUAUUAUACACCAUCUUAAAGAGAA